rnacentral:rRNA from 1 species
GACGACGCUGGCGGCGUGGAUUAGGCAUGCAAGUCGAACGGUAUCAUCCUUCGGGGGUGAGAGAGUGGCGAACUGGUGAGUAACACGUAGGUUAUCUACCCUCAAGACGGGGACAACCCAGGGAAAACUUGGGCUAAUACCGGAUGUGAGCAACUUUUAGUUGUUUGAAAGGUGGCGUAAGCUGUCGCUUGGGGAUGAGCCUGCGUCCUAUUAGUUAGUUGGUGAGGUAACGGCUCACCUAGGCAAUGAUAGGUAGGCGGCCUUAACGGGUGGUCGCCCACACUGGGAUUGAGAUACGGCCCAGACUCCUACGGGAGGCAGCAGUCGAGAAUAGUCUACAAUGGUCGGAAGACUGAUAGUGCGACGCCGCGUGAACGAUGAAUCCCUUCGGGGUGUAAAGUUCUUUUAUAUGUGAGCAGUGCUUCUUAUAUUAACAGUAUGGGGAGAGAGAUAUUAGCAUAUGAAUAAGCAACGGCUAACUCCGUG